GACUGGCUCUAGCCAUGCACCACCAGUUUCGAAACUAAAUAUGAAUGUCGUACAAGACACUACUGACUAUCAAGAUCGACUGAAUGAGAAUGUGGCUGACAUGGUGAAAGAGAAAAUCAGCCUAAGAUGUCCUGUAUAUCAGAUGCAUUCCCUCAAUAGAAAAUGUGUAUAUCAGAUUAUUUGCUCUGCUCAAAAUGUAGAAACAAAAUUUGGAUCAUUUCUGCAGCCUAGCGUUGAGUUUCUGAGUUGUGGCUAGGCUUCAAGUUUGCGCUGUCACCAAAGAUCGGGUAUUUCUCUUGACCAUCCCUCCUGCUAAGAUCAGGUCUUCUAGCUUGAGCAUUGGCCAUAGGUAAACCUCUAGGAUCUGAACCACUAGAGUUCCUUCCAGAAUUGAACAGUUCACUUUUCUUGUACCUAUUCUGUGUGGCAACGUUGUUCUCCUUGCCUGGGGUCCUGUCUGCUUGUGGAGAGCUAAAAAUACCAAAACCAGAGGAUGGACAACUUCGAACACUAGACUGAGAAGGAUGUUGCUCAGGAAACUUCCUUGGGAACUGAGAUCCAAGGUCUCUACUAUGUGACAAUGUAUUCCGGUCCAAUGGCAAUUGCCUUCCUAGAUCAGAUACGGUGUCCGCCAUCUUUGUACUCCUCAAACUUGGGUCUCUUUUAUACCUAUUUUCUUCCCCUGACGGACCCUGCAAUGUGUUUCCUGAUUCUCUUCUGAAACUACUUUGCAAAUUUGAAGAAACAUUAGCAGAACCUAGUGUUUUAGUACCCUCUUUUGCACUCUCUGCAAGAUCGAAAACCUUGUCACAAUCACCAUUUGCACUGGACAUUCUCCAACCUGAUCUGGCGUUAUCAACAUCUUCAUUAGUCAUUGCUUCCAUACAGCUAUCAUUGUCACUUUCAAUACCAGAUUCAGAAGUAUCACAAUUUUGCUUCGAUUGUGAAAAAAUUUCAGGUGCUACUGAAGCUGAUUCAUUAGAAUCCUCUGCAGAGAUGGCACUCCUGUCUUCUUUUGAUGGUUUCUUUCCCGAGCCUUUCUUUGAUGGACCAAACUUAACAUGCCUGACAACAAUAUAUGCCUGCUUUUUCUCCACUCUUGGUCCACUUUCAAUAUAAGCAACAUCUUCAAUCAGAGGAGAGAAACGUGAUAACACUGCUCCCAAAUCCUCUCCUUCAUUGCCCAUGGACAUGGCUGUACACUUCACCCGAUAGCCGCGCUCCAUCAUCCGUUUAACUGUAUCUGCUUUAUUUUGCAAGUCUUUUUUUUCAAUUUUACCAACAAAUCGGACUUCUUUACAAUCUCCCUUCUUCAAAGUUAACUCAGACUUGCUUUUUUUAGCACUCUCCUUCACUUGUUGUUGAUAUUUUUCUUUGUGGUAGUCCAUAAUUCUGCAGACAGGUGGUUUGCUGUUCCGUGCCACCUCCACCAAAUCAAGGUUGAGACUUCUAGCAAGUUCCAAAGCUUCGCGUAUUGACACUACGCGAUGACCUUCGUCAAGUACAAGCCUAACAAUAUCCGCGGUGAUCUCGCGAUUCAAUCUGGGACCACUCGUAUCCUUCUCUUCCUUCCUCGUCUUCGCCUGUACAGGUGCAGCGAAGCGCCUGACACUUUGCGAAAAUUCGAACGGACUCUUCGGGAUAGUCAAGCUGGAGUUGCCGAAAACUCGGACUGAAGGAUGUGAAGCACUAGCAAUGAGCGAAUUGGAACCAUGAGGGCAUUGGAAAUAACACCUUUUCAAAUGAAUUGAUAGGGUUUUGAUUUUGGAAUUCUUCACUCUACACCAAAACGCCAUGGUUGUACUCUCUAGCCCUAGUUCCAAAAAAUUGCCAUGGGAGGGUGGAGAAAUAUUGCUCCAAA
rnacentral:misc_RNA from 1 species